UCGAGUUUACAACUCCCAAACCCCUGUGAACUUAUACCUUUACUGUUGCCUCGGCGGUUUCGCCCCGGGAAAUAGGUUCGCGAGAGCCUGGCCCCCUGGAACCAAGGCGCCCGCCGGUGGGAAUCUACAGAACUCUUGUAUGUUGUUUUGGCAUGUCUGAGUGGAAAUAUCAUAUAAUGAAUCA
rnacentral:misc_RNA from 1 species